GGUCGCAUGGUGUAGUUGGUUAUCACGUCAGCUUAACAGAAUUAACUUUCGAGCCCUGGUUCGACUGUCGACAAGUUCCGCUGAAGGUCCUCAGUUCAAUCCUGAGUGCGAUCA
rnacentral:tRNA from 1 species